rnacentral:tRNA from 1 species
AAAGAAUUAGUUUACUAUAAAACAUUAACUUGUCAAGUUAAAGAUAUUUUUAAUAUUCUUUA